rnacentral:rRNA from 1 species
UACGGGGGGGGUAAGCGUUGUUCGGAAUUACUGGGCGUAAAGGGCUCGUAGGUGGCCAACUAAGUCAGACGUGAAAUCCCUCGGCUUAACCGGGGAACUGCGUUUGAUACUGGAUGGCUUGAGUUCGGGAGAGGGAUGCGGAAUUCCAGGUGUAGCGGUGAAAUGCGUAGAUAUCUGGAGGAACACCGGUGGCGAAGGCGGCAUCCUGGACCGACACUGACACUGAGGAGCGAAAGCCAGGGGAGCAAACGGG